rnacentral:lncRNA from 1 species
GGGUUGCUUUCUUUGGAAAACAGUGGCUCUAAUAUAGCAACCACUUUCACCACUCCUAUUUUUAUGAUUUCCUUCUGUAAUAGCAUAAUGGAAACUACAUAGUUGUCAUACCAAGAUCAGUGUGAUGCUGAUUGCAUAAGGUCCCAGCAUAAUGUCUCUCCGAGCAUGCUAUAAUGCUUGUUUCCACUCUUUCCAUUCUACCCUAAUAUGUCAUGGAAUUUGCUAGCAAAGUCUUAUCUGGAAGUGGUAGAUAAGAGCAGUAACAAGCCAAGUGGC